rnacentral:ncRNA from 1 species
CUUGUGUUACGCGGAAAAUAGUUGCGAAAAACAAAGCCGCGGCACUGGUCGAUGAUGUGAAACAGCGGGUUCCAGGCAAACAUGGCCAACGUGGCCCCGCCCAGCGCGUUGGCCACAAACAUCUUGCCAGAAAAGAUCAUGUUCAUCCGCCG